rnacentral:rRNA from 1 species
GCAUCNAACGCUGUGNGNCACUGCUCUAACACAUGCAAGUCGAACGAUGAAGCCCUUCGGGGUGGAUUAGUGGCGAACGGGUGAGUAACACGUGGGCAAUCUGCCCUUCACUCUGGGACAAGCCCUGGAAACGGGGUCUAAUACCGGAUAAUACUCCUGCCUGCAUGGGCGGGGGUUGAAAGCUCCGGCGGUGAAGGAUGAGCCCGCGGCCUAUCAGCUUGUUGGUGGGGUAAUGGCCCACCAAGGCGACGACGGGUAGCCGGCCUGAGAGGGCGACCGGCCACACUGGGACUGAGACACGGCCCAGACUCCUACGGGAGGCAGCAGUGGGGAAUAUUGCACAAUGGGCGAAAGCCUGAUGCAGCGACGCCGCGUGAGGGAUGACGGCCUUCGGGUUGUAAACCUCUUUCAGCAGGGAAGAAGCGAAAGUGACGGUACCUGCAGAAGAAGCGCCGGCUAACUACGUGCCAGCAGCCGCGGUAAUACGUAGGGCGCAAGCGUUGUCCGGAAUUAUUGGGCGUAAAGAGCUCGUAGGCGGCUUGUCACGUCGGAUGUGAAAGCCCGAGGCUUAACCUCGGGUCUGCAUUCGAUACGGGCUAGCUAGAGUGUGGUAGGGGAGAUCGGAAUUCCUGGUGUAGCGGUGAAAUGCGCAGAUAUCAGGAGGAACACCGGUGGCGAAGGCGGAUCUCUGGGCCAUUACUGACGCUGAGGAGCGAAAGCGUGGGGAGCGAACAGGAUUAGAUACCCUGGUAGUCCACGCCGUAAACGUUGGGAACUAGGUGUUGGCGACAUUCCACGUCGUCGGUGCCGCANCUACGCAUNAANUUCCCCCCUGGGGANUCNGNCGCAGGCUAAACUCAANGAUUGACGGGGCCCCCCAACCGCGGAACUGUGGCUUAUUGACNCACGNAAAACUACAGGUUGCUUNCCGNANCUAAAAAAUGCCCUNGGUCGNUNAGNGGCUGGUNCCACUNNUCGGANUNGGUAUCCACNNCACCUNNUNUCCAUCCUNGGGGGGNNAGAACCGGUNUNGAGGGNANAA